rnacentral:rRNA from 1 species
UACGUAGGGUGCAGGCGUUAAUCGGAAUUACUGAGCGUAAAGCGUGCGCAGGCGGUUUCUUAAGUCAGAUGUGAAAGCCCCGGGCUUAACCUGGGAACUGCGUUUGAAACUGGGAGACUUGAGUGUGGCAGAGGGGGGUGGAAUUCCACGUGUAGCAGUGAAAUGCGUAGAUAUGUGGAGGAACACCGAUGGCGAAGGCAGCCCCCUGGGAUAACACUGACGCUCAUGCACGAAAGCGUGGGGAGCAAACAGG